GGACGUAAGUCACCGGCGAAUAGUUCAGUAACACGUCGUUAAUCUGCCCUUAAGUCUGGGAUAGUCUUGGGAAACUGAGUUUAAUACCGGAUAGAUAAUUGAUAUUGGAAUAUACUUUUAUUCAAAGGUUACGCUUAAGGAUGAGACGGCGGCCGAUUAGGUUGUUGGUGGGGUAAUGGCCCACCAAGCCAACGAUCGGUAGGGGCCCUGACAGGGGUAGCCCCGAGGAGGACACUGAGAUAAGGGUCCUGACUCUACGGAGUAUAGCAAGCGCGAAACCUUUACAAUGCACGAAAGUGUGAUAAGGGAACUCUAAGUGCUCAUGCAAAGCAUGGGCUUUUUCUUAGUGUAAAAAGCUAGGAGAAUAAGUGGUGGGCAAGACUGGUGCCAGCAGCCGCGGUAACACCAGCGCCACUAGUGGGGACCGCUAUUAUUGGGCCUAAAGCGUCCGUAGCCGGAUUUGUAAAUCUUUUGUGAAAUUAUGUGGCUUAACCAUAUAAAGUGCAGAAGAAACUGCAGGUCUAGAGACCGGGAGGCGUCAGUGGUAUUCCGGAGGGAGCGGUAAAAUGCUAUAAUCUCUGGAGGACCCCCUGUGGCGAAGGCGACUGACGAGAACGGAUCCGACGGUGAGGAACGAAAGCUAGGGGAGCGAACCGGAUUAGAUACCCGAGUAGUCCCAGCUGUAAACGCUGCGAGCAAGGUGUUGCAUAUUCCACGAGAAUGUGCAGUGUCGAAGCGAAGGCGAUAAGCUCGCCGCCUGGGAAGUAUGGUCGCAAGACUGAAACUUAAAGGAAUUGGCGGGGGAGCACUACAAGGGGUGCGGCGUGCGGUUUAAUCUAACUCAACGCAGAGAAUCUCACCAGAGGCGACGGCAGGAUGAAAGUCAGAUUGAAGGUUUUACUUGACGAGCCGAGAGGUAGUGCAUGGCCGCCGUCAGCUCGUUCCGUAAGGUGUCCUGUUAAGUCAGGCAACGAGCGAGACCUGUACCUACAAUUGCCAGCGGAAUCUUUUGAUUGACCGGGCACAUUGUAGGGACUGCCUUGGAAACAAGGAGGAAGGUGCAGGCUACGGUAGGUCUGUAUGCUCCGAAUCCUCUGGGCUACACGCGCGCAACAAUGGUAUAGACAAUGGGAUGCGACUCCGAAAGGAGAAGCUAAUCCUCUAAACCAUAUCUCAGUCCAGAUCGUGGUUUGUAACUCAGCCACAUGA
rnacentral:rRNA from 1 species